ensembl:lncRNA
CCUCACUCUCCAUCCAUAAUUCAGGACCCCUCUCUCUCUGUGAGUGUGUGUGUAUAUGUGUGCGCGCGCAUCUUCAUCCUCUCACACACUGCCUGUGUCUUGUGCAGCUGUCGAUGCAUCGGGCAGAAGAUCGUGCCGUAUAUAAGGGGGGGGGAUCUGUGAAAGCACACAGGCUGGAGAGGGGAUCCCAUUGAUCAGCGGGUAGAGAAACUCUUGCAGCUAAGCCUGAGAUUUGUGAACAGGUCAAGGAGACUGAAACCAGAGGUGAGUAGCUUUAUUCUACCUGUGUAAGGAU